AGGGAAGAGGAAGCCAUUAACACACCACUUUUGUAAAAAAUCUGAAUAAGAAAAAGUAAAAACACAAUCAAAUUAAGAUAUGGAGAUUUAAAAAGAUAAUAGUAUACACAAUUUUAUUCUAAUACAUUAGAAAAUCUAAAUGAGGGGCACCUGGCUGUGUCAGUUGGAAGAGGAUGAGACUCUUGAUCUUGGGGUUAUGAGUUUGAGCCCCAUGUGGGAUGUAGGGAAUACUUAAAUACAUUUUAAAAACUUAAAAAAAAAUCUAAAUGAAGUAGGCAACUUUCUUGAAAACUACAAAUUAGCAUAAUUUUUAUAAGGAGAAACAGAAAAUCCAAAAUGUACCAGUAACUUUGGAGGAAACUGAAAAUUAAUAUUAAUAGUUCAUUUUAAACACUAUGCAUCAGAGAGCUAAAAGCUUUAAAUGAAUUGUCUAUGUAAUCCUCACAUUGUAUUGUAGGUGUAACAGUGUCAGAAUUUACAGAUGAACAGUUGAGGCUCAAGAAAAAUUAAGUGAACUUACAAAGGCACACUAAAUGGCUGGAUGGAAUUCAAACGCAGACAAUGUGACUCUGGAGUUUAAGCACUCAACCACUACACCAAAUCCUUUUAUUAUUAAAGAAUGAUCUCUGAAAAGUAACAUCACAUGAUUUUUUAGGUAACUCCUUCAAACUUUCAGGGAAAGAAAAUUCUCCAGGCUGAGUCAUAAUUUCAAAACAUAAAGGCAAAAAGCUACCCAGUUCAUCUUACGAAGCUGACGUAAUCAGAAAAAAAAAUCCGACCACAUAGCAUAAAAAAUUAACUCUGUGAACAGAGAUGAAAACAUUCUCAAAUAAAAUUCUAAUAAAUCCAAUUCAGUAUAAUAGUAAAAUAAUAAUCCAUUCUGAGCAACUAGAUUUUAUGAUAAGAAGAUGAAAAUGGCUUACUAUAGCUAUACCACAAUUUUAGCAGAUGCUGGAAAUAAGCUUCAGAAAAUUCCGUACUUAUUCUUGAAUAGAAGUUCUAAAUAAGCUAGUUCUAGAACGAUAAAACUUAAACAAAGAGUAGGCAUCAUAUAUAACAAUGAGAGACUUCAGACAGUCCAGAAAAUACAGAGCAAGUCUAGGUUGGUGGUUAUUACUUCUGGUAAUACUACAGUUCUGGAAGUCCAGCCAUAUGUGGUGAAGCAUGGACAGACUGCAGUGGCCAAUGAGCUAUAUAAAUCAUCAUCAUCGGUGGCUUCUAGAAAAGACCCGAGAGAGAACACUUUGAACUUGAGCUUGGACGUUUUAUUACGCUAAGGAUGGCAGAGCAAAAAGACAAAAGGAGCCAUUUUUGAAGAUGUCAUGGGGCUCUCACACCAACCCCAGCCUGCUUAUCACCAAACUUCUUAUGUAACAGAACAGAUAGAUGUUUUAACAUACUAUAGCAAUCUCUCUACUUAGCAUUUCCAAAGAGAUACAUAUACCAAUACAGGUUAUGAAUCUCAAAAGAGGCAGAUCUAGAAUGCCCCCUUUGGAAGCAAGAUCAAUGAUGAGCAUUUUGUUAGCAUAUGUGUAGUUCCCAAAAAGUAGUUUGGGGAAUGCUGGUCUAAUUUAAUUGACAGAUACUGCUUGGAUGUUUUCUUUCAGGGGGAAAAUUUAUCAGCCAGAAACUGUCAGUUUCCUUCAUGCUAUAGAGAGAGUCUAUUUAAAGUAUUACAAUCCAUUGA